UACAGAGGUCUCAAGCGUUGUUCGGAUUCAUUGGGCGUAAAGGGUGUGUAGGUGGCGCCGUAAGUCGGGUGUGAAAUUUCGGAGCUUAACUCCGAAACUGCAUUCGAUACUGCCGUGCUUGAGGACUGGAGAGGAGACUGGAAUUUACGGUGUAGCAGUGAAAUGCGUAGAGAUCGUAAGGAAGACCAGUGGCGAAGGCGGGUCUCUGGACAGUUCCUGACGCUGAGGCACGAAGGCCAGGGGAGCAAACGGG
rnacentral:rRNA from 1 species